rnacentral:rRNA from 1 species
AACGAACGCUGGCGGCAGGCCUAACACAUGCAAGUCGAGCGCCCAGCAAUGGGAGCGGCGGACGGGUGAGUAACGCGUGGGAAUUUUUCCUGGAGUACGGAACAACCGAGGGAAACUUCGGCUAAUACCGUAUGAUGCCGAGAGGCCAAAGAUUUAUCGCUCUGGGGUGAGCCCGCGUCAGAUUAGGUAGUUGGUGGGGUAAAGGCCUACCAAGCCUGCGAUCUGUAGCUGGUCGAGAGGACGAUCAGCCACACUGGGACUGAGACACGGCCCAGACUCCUACGGGAGGCAGCAGUGGGGAAUCUUGCGCAAUGGGCGAAAGCCUGACGCAGCCAUGCCGCGUGAGUGAAGAGUCUUAGAUUGUAAGCUCUUUCGCUCGUGACGAUGAUGACGGUAACGAGAGAAGAACGCCCCGGCUAACUUCGUGCCAGCCGCCGCAAGU